UUUAGAGCGGCUGCAACCUGACUCUAAUAUGCUGUGAAUGAGAGACCUGAGCUCGGAUUAAGAUCACCGCGGCUGGUCUGCGUGGCCCCCACAGCCCGGUGCUCGUACAGGACGGGUGGCAUUCAAGGGUAUGAAAAACAACCUUGAAAUAUCACGCAGUCUAACACUCAGUGAGAACCCACAGACGCCGAGUGUAUCAAAACAUGUAAAACCGUUUGUGGGGGGACACACAAAACGACUUUCGGCUCUCGGUCAAUCCAGACAAAUUCCACCAACUUGUUCUGAAGCUUUUCCGCCGUAAUUGAGGACAGGAUGCCCAGGAAAACCAGCUCUGCACAGACCUGCGUUUUUAUAGCUGCUAUAGUAUUCUAGUGCGCCUUCUCCCCCCACCACCAGACACACAAGCCAGACAGACACUACAAAACUGACCAGGCGUGAUAGGAAGUCGCCACCUACGUGGUCUCAAAGUCAGGCUGAGGGAAAUUCAAUAACAGAUAGAAACAUUUGUCUCCACGAAGACAAGGUGACAGGAGCGCGAGCCGGCGGGACGUGGAGACGACAGAAGGGGAGGCCGGGCCGGGCCGGGCCGGUGGACCACACAAGGGAGGGAAACAGAUCAACUCCACGGUCAACUGGAGCCCCUCUGGCGGCUGGAGCGGCGGAACAAAAGGACCUAAAGUGGACUUCAUGGGGAAUAAAUGGACAUUUACURAAAGAAAUACAGAUCACAGAGUGAGCUACAAUAUAUGUGUGAUCACUUUACCAAUUUAUCGGAAUAGCUUCAGAGAAACUGAAUCUUCARUUAAAUUAAUUGCUUGCUCAAAAAUCUGUUUUUAAAAAUGUGUUUAUUUAAAAUUUCACUGCUUCAAAGGAAAUAAAAUAUAAAUGCAUUWAUUUGCUGUUAAAAUUCA